AGAAGGAUAACUACAAGCCUUGUGAGUUGGAAAAACGAAGGCUCAGAGACCCUGGAUCACCCAGUGAGUAAGCAGCAUGCCCAGGUCUAGCAUACCAUUCUCCUGCUUUCAGCUCUUGUAUGCUAUCCACAUGCUUACAGCAUGCUUGGACAAUGCAGAAACUCAGCUUUGGUACUUUGGGUAAUCUGUUCAUCUGUGAAAUGGGAUAACUCAUGCUGAUCUACGGACAAAAAUAACUGUAAGGAUGACAUGAAAUGAUGCAGAUAGCAGGCACUCAAAAAACAGAGCUCUAUCAACAUUCCUGCUUCCUCUCAAUGACUGGCACUGAACCGUCCUUAACACCCCAUUUCUAAGCCAAGAGAUUCUUCAAGACCAAGCCAAGUCUGCCGUGCCACUGUCCCCCGCAGGAGCCUCUGGCUUCAUCAAGCCCACAGAUCCACAGUUGCUUUGUUCGCCGAGUGACAUUUCUAUCAGGCACCACCUUGGGCUGGUCACAGAAACUUCGUAGGAGCCAUCAGUCCUGGAGCUCAGUACCCCAGGGUUGAUGCCUUGACAACUGUGUCACCACUCUCUUAUUACCUAUCUGGAGGGUCACCUUUCUGACAGACAGCUUUGAAAAUU
rnacentral:lncRNA from 10 species